rnacentral:rRNA from 1 species
UACGUAGGUGGCAAGCGUUGUCCGGAUUUACUGGGCGUAAAGAGCGCGCAGGCGGUCAGAUAAGUCGAAUGGGAAAGCCCCCGGCUCAACUGGGGAGGGUCAUUCGAUACUGUUCGACUCGAAGGCAGGAGAGGGAAGCGGAAUUCCCGGUGUAGUGGUGAAAUGCGUAGAUAUCGGGAGGAACACCAGUGGCGAAGGCGGCUUCCUGGCCUGUUCUUGACGCUGAGGCGCGAAAGCUAGGGGAGCAAACGGG